rnacentral:snRNA from 1 species
UUUGCUUUGGCAGUACAUACAAAAAUUGGAACUAUACAUAGAUGAUUAGCAUGGCUCCUGCACAAGGAUGACACCCAAAUUUCAUGAAUUUUUCAUAAACUAA